rnacentral:rRNA from 1 species
UACGUAGGUGGCAAGCGUUGUCCGGAUUUACUGGGCGUAAAGAGCGCGUAGGCGGUCGGAUAAGUCGGAUGUGAAAGCCCCCGGCUCAACUGGGGAGGGUCAUUCGAUACUGUUCGACUCGAAGGCAGGAGAGGGAAGUGGAAUUCCCGGUGUAGUGGUGAAAUGCGUAGAUAUCGGGAGGAACACCGGUGGCGAAGGCGGCUCUCUGGGUCGUACCUGACGCUGAGGCGCGAAAGCGUGGGGAGCGAACGGG